rnacentral:lncRNA from 10 species
AAUGUACAUUUUAUUUUGCUUUUUGUUUAUUUUUGUAUUUUCUAUAUGUAAAUACAUUGAGAAAGAUUUCCUUUUUUGGGUGACUUCUGGCACUCAAAAUUCUAUAAAUACAUGGAAGUUGUAAAGGAGCUUAUAAAGGUUUUGAGGACCUUAUAAAGAUAUCUUCUAAGGUUUUGUUUAUUUUAUUUUAUUUUUGCCAUACAUUUUGGAAAGCGAUGCAUGGAGCUGAUUACAACUGGCACCGUCAUCGUUUAUAAGCCAUGUUUCUUCCCAUAGGAGAUUUUGCCACUUAAGGGUCUCUGUAUAUUUUUAGUCUUAAAAUGUUUCAUGUUAUUUAUUCCAUCACUAAUUUUAUUUCACAGUUUUCAGCUUGGGAUAUUUUUAAACUUGUUUAUGACACUGUAAAAAUAAAAAUAUUGCAUUAUA